AAUUAAUACGCUAUUCAUGUUAAUAAACAAAAGAUAAAUUUUCUAAUCUCUCAAAAGAUGUCAUAGCUGGUAACAUAACGUGUAUUGUGUUGCUACGAAAAUAUUGUAUAUUUUACGCUUGGCUGCAAAGAAGGCUUCCAGCUGGUUCUAUUCAUUCAUUAAAUUUAUCCACGGGUUUUACAAUGAGAGAGGUUCAGUACUACGAUGCACUUAUCCAGAAAGAGAAAGACAGCAAGAGAGAAAAAGAAAUGAAGAUGGAAUAAAAUAGGGACAGACAAGACUUUCAAAUGUUUCGAGCAUAUUCGACAUGGCCAAUCACGUAUUCAUAGUUAUACGUAGAUUCUAAUUGUCUCCAGCAAUCUAUUAAAACAGCCCGAAGCUAAGAUCGUAUAUCGAUUAACAUGUCAAUUUAUUGAAACAAUCCGAAAGAGCUGUUAAGAUUACACACCGAUUAAUAUGUUGAUGUAUAUUACAUAAACGAUUUGACGUAAAUUUCCAUAUGACCCUGCAGUAUCAUUGAAAAGACAAGGGUUAUCAGCGAAAUUAUCACGUUACAUAUCGUAUUUUUAAAACAAAAAUAAAUUGUAAAGAGGCAUGCAUAAAUCGUACAUCGUUUGCUCAUACAAACUAAGAUCACGUAAUAAUGAGAAAUCUAUUCGAACGAAUUACAUAAUUUAUUUCAACAACGAACAAUGUAACAAAUAACAAAAACAAAUUCUCGUAGAGUGCAUUGUACGGCACGUUCACCAGAAUUGACGGCGUUCAUCAGAAGAUUUCGCUGGCAAGAUUUAAUAAAACAGUAUCCGGUG